rfam:Legionella spiritensis strain Mt.St.Helens-9 Lspi_ctg034, whole genome shotgun sequence.
GUGGCUGGACGUAUAGUCGGGAAACCCUUCAUGGAUCUUUUACCGUCUGGUAGAACAAGUGCUCUUAAGCAUUUGCAGUCA